UACGAAGGGGGCGAGCGUUGUCCGGAAUCAUUGGGCGUAAAGAGCGCGCAGGCGGCUUGGCAAGUCGGGUGUGAAAUCCCGGGGCUCAACCCCGGGACUGCAUUCGAUACUGUCAGGCUAGAGGUAGGUAGGGGAGAUCGGAAUUCCUGGUGUAGCGGUGAAAUGCGCAGAUAUCAGGAGGAACACCGGUGGCGAAGGCGGAUCUCUGGGCCUUACCUGACGCUCAGGCGCGAAAGCUAGGGGAGCGAACAGG
rnacentral:rRNA from 1 species